GACGAACGCUGGCGGCGUGCCUAAUACAUGCAAGUCGAACGCAGUGGGGACGGGUGAGUAACACGUGGGUAACCUCCAAUCAGAGGGGAUAACACUAGGCAACAGGUGCUAAACCGAUACUGAUGGAUGGAGCCGCGGUGCAUUAGCUAGUUGGUGAGGUAACGGCUCACCAAGGCCACGAUGCAUAGCCGACCUGAGAGGGGGAUCAGCCACACUGGAACUGAGACACGGCCCAGACUCCUACGGGAGGCAGCAGUAGGGAAUAUUCGGCAAUGGGCGAAAGUCUGACCGAGCAAUGCCGCGUGAGUGAAGAAGGUUUUCGGAUCGUAAAGCUCUGUUGGUAGAGAAGCGGUAUCUAACCAGAAAGCAACGGCUAACUACGUGCCAGCAGCCGCGGUAAUAC
rnacentral:rRNA from 1 species